UGGGGAAUAUUGGACAAUGGGCGAAAGCCUGAUCCAGCCAUGCCGCGUGUGUGAAGAAGGUCUUCGGAUUGUAAAGCACUUUAAGUUGGGAGGAAGGGCAGUAAGCGAAUACCUUGCUGUUUUGACGUUACCGACAGAAUAAGCACCGGCUAACUCUGUGCCAGCAGCCGCGGUAAUACAGAGGGUGCAAGCGUUAAUCGGAAUUACUGGGCGUAAAGCGCGCGUAGGUGGUUCGUUAAGUUGAAUGUGAAAGCCCCGGGCUCAACCUGGGAACUGCAUCCAAAACAGGCGAGCUAUGGUAGGGCAGAAGGUGGUGGAAUUUCCUGUGUAGCGGUGAAAUGCGUAGAUAUAGGAAGGAAAACCAGUGGCGAAGGCGACCACCUGGGCUCAUACUGACACUGAGGUGCGAAAGCGUGGGGAGCAAACAGG
rnacentral:rRNA from 1 species